GAUGAACGCUGGCGGCGUGCCUAAUACAUGCAAGUCGAGCGAACAGAUGAUGAUCUUGCUGCUCUCACGUUAGCGGCGGACGGGUGAGUAACAUGUGGAUAACCUACCUAUAAUACUGGGAUAUCUUCGGGAAACCGGAGCUAAUACGGGAGAAUAUAUUGAACCGCAGGGGUGAAUAGAGAAAGACGGCGUUGCUGUCAGUUAUAGAUGGAUCCGCGCCUCUUUGGCUAGUUGGUAGGUUAAAGGCUUACCAAGGAAACGAUGCGUAGCCGACAUGGUAGGGUGAUCGGCGCCACUGGAACGGGGACACGCUCAAGACUACUAGGGGAGGCACCAGAAGGCAACCUUCCGCAAUGGGCGAAAACCUGACGGAGCAACGCCGCGCGAGUGACGACGGUCUUCGGAUCGUAAAAAUCUGUUAUUAGGGAAGAACAAAUGUGUAAGUUAAUAUACACGUCUUGACGGUAACUAAUCAGAAAGCCACGGCUAACUACGUG
rnacentral:rRNA from 1 species